ACGCACGCUGGCGGCGUGCUUAACACAUGCAAGUCGAACGGAAAGGCCCUGCUUUUGUGGGGUGCUCGAGUGGCGAACGGGUGAGUAACACGUGAGUAACCUGCCCUUGACUUUGGGAUAACUUCAGGAAACUGGGGCUAAUACCGGAUAGGAGCUCCUGCUGCAUGGUGGGGGUUGGAAAGUUUCGGCGGUUGGGGAUGGACUCGCGGCUUAUCAGCUUGUUGGUGGGGUAGUGGCUUACCAAGGCUUUGACGGGUAGCCGGCCUGAGAGGGUGACCGGCCACAUUGGGACUGAGAUACGGCCCAGACUCCUACGGGAGGCAGCAGUGGGGAAUAUUGCACAAUGGGCGGAAGCCUGUUGCAGCAACGCCGCGUGCGGGAUGACGGCCUUCGGGUCGUAAACCGCUUUCGCCUGUGACGAAGCGUGAGUGACGGUAAUGGGUAAAGAAGCACCGGCUAACUACGUG
rnacentral:rRNA from 1 species